rnacentral:lncRNA from 1 species
CCCUCCUAAAUUUCCUUCGGUCAAAUAUUGAAAAGUUUCGUUACAAAAUUUGCACUUAACACUAUUAGUACCUUCUAUUAUUUCAAAAAAUUCCAUACUGGACUUCUUCUUUUACGAAUUAGAAGUCGGGUCAUUACUAUUACUACCAAAAGCUACAGAACUAGCAUCAUUAAACAUAUUGUAAAAAUGAAAAUAUAAGCUUAAAUUAAAUAUGCAAUUAAAAUAUUAAAUAAGAGAAAAAGUUGGAAAGAG